GGGUGAUUAGCUCAGUUGGUAGAGCAGCUGACUCUUAAUCAGCGGGUCAUAGGUUCAAAUCCUAUAUCACCCACCA
rnacentral:tRNA from 1 species